UUGGACUCUUAGACUUACACCAGUGAUUUGCCAAGGGCUCUUGGGCCUUUGGCCACAGAAGGCUGCACUGUCGGCUUCCCUACCUUUGAGGUUUUGGGACCCAGACUGAUCCACCAUUGGCUUCCUUGCUCCGCAGCUUGCAGAUGGCUUAUUGUGGUACUUUACCUUGUGAUAGGGUUGAGUCCCUCAGAAGCAGCCCCUGAGACAACGAUCUGAGCAUAACUCAUUCAUUUGGAAGGUGGUCUCAGGAAACACUAACAGGGGAAUGAAGAGGAGUAUCAAUGAUUGUAUGGAUUGGUUGUCGGUUUGAUGUACUUGCAUGAGUGGUGUUGACAAAGUCAGAAUAUUCCUGAAAGUACAUGUUUGGCUUCACCAGCAGCAUUUUGUAAUAUUGAGAAAGAGGAUAAGGCAGCGAUGAGGUGGGUUUGGAGCUUGGCCCACCUGCACUCUCCUCUACCCUUUACUUGCCAUCCACGUGGCCUGGCUUGAAGGAAUUCUCUCCAGUCUUGAGUGCAGGCUCAUUCCCUCAAAACUGGGUACAAUUAUACGCCAUGUGGGGUUGUUGUGAAGAUUAAAGAAAAGUACUCAGCAAACGUGUCCUUCAACUGGUGGAUGGUUAAACUGUGAUACAUCCUUACGAUGGAAGACCAUUUAACAAGAAAUAGAACAAAUUACGGACACACACACCAAAGUAGAUGAACUCAAAUGCAUUAUGGAUUGCUCUUCUAACUCUAUCAGUGAGGCCAUGAGGCUUGCUGCCCUGGCAUGGAAGGAGACCAUGAGGAAAAGGAAAUGGAAAGCCAGAAGUUGGCCCCUUCCAUUCCAGGAGGAUGUGGGGAAGAAGCAGACAGAGCAAGAGUAAUGAGAUCUUUCUGCCCCUUGGUUUGGUCGGCAUCUCAUUGGCACAAGGGAACUUUAGAAUCAUCCACAUAAUUUUGGGAUUCUGAGAAGAUGAGUACAUUUAAAGCGAGAUAAACUUGCAAUGAGGAGCCAAUGGGAAUAAGAAGCACCUAUCUUAGAAGAAUAGCUAGGACCUUCUACUGAAUGACUUCUGGAAGAAUCCAGGACUAUGAUUAAGGUCCAUCAGAGAGCUGAGGAUGCAACCAAACUGCUCAACCCAAGACUAAAGAGACAGGCAAAUGCAGGGAGUCAUGGCUUGUCAGAAAAGAGACUCGGGAGAGGAAACAGAC
rnacentral:lncRNA from 10 species